CACCAACCCAGAAGGACCCCCAGGAAAAAUGGGUCUCUUCAGAUCUACUCACCAACCCAGAAUCCAGGGGAAGAGACUCUCCAAGGAACCAAGGAAGGAGAAAGAGCUGAUGAUGAACUGAGGAAAACAGGGUCAAGUGACUCACUCCAGAGUCACAUAGCUACACUCAGAUAUUUCUGGUCUGAAGCACAAAGAAAUGAAAUGAUUUAUCUAAGGUCACCCAAGGAAAAUAUCUAAGGUAAGAUUUUAACCCAGGACUUCCUGGCCCUAAAAGAUAGCUCUAACCACUGUGUCAAGCUAGCUCUCCUGUGUAUAUAGCUAAAUAAAUGUAAAUUAAUAUGGAAUGUAAAUAUUUAC
rnacentral:lncRNA from 1 species